AGCUGGCUGGGGGAGGGUUGCUGGGGGACGUGGAAUGGGGCCCCGUGUUUGGGUCACACGCUCUCCCCUUCCCAGAAGGACGCGAUGCAUCUGUCGGGCCAGGACGGCACUGAUGGGAACCAACCGAACAAGCAGCCGUCUGUAACGGAGAGCUCUGGGCUGCCCUCAAGGCAAAGGGGGACGCCAGACACCACAACCUCGAGCAGCCAGCCAAGCACCGCCUCCCCGCUGCUGUUAGCCGUGCUGAAGUGCCAACCAGCCUCAUCUCCCGGACGCCUCACCCUGCCACCGAAGCUGCUGCCACACCGCAUUAAAUCAGCGCCCUGACAGCCGGGCAGGACGGGGGUCCCGGCCCCGGUCCCACCGCCCCGGGCGCUGAGCAGGCAGCAGCUGCAAUAAAUGGCGAUGGGCAACCAA